rnacentral:rRNA from 1 species
UGGUGGAGUGAUUUGUCUGGUUAAUUCCGAUAACGAACGAGACUCUGUCCUGCUAACUAGGUUGUGUUUUCUCAGGUUGGUGUUCUGGUGUUCCUUCUCGGGGCGCCGGCCCAAUCCACUUGUGAACACAACACUCUUCUUAGAGGGACUGGCGGCUGUUAGCCGCACGAGAUAGAGCAAUAACA